AGCUUUGAAGCCGGCGAGCGGUGAGGAGGAGGCGCCCUCGCGUGUGGAGAGCGGACUCCGCCUGGACUCCACCGCCCACGGCCGCAUCCCAUCGCCGCACAAGAUCGCCGGAGUCAUAUUAUCGACGUAGUUAAAGCCCACUAGCCUAAAGCCGGGCGGACUGCGGUGUGGUCCCUGAUCCCUACGGUGGUGGUGGUAACUCACACUUGUUUCAGUUCUGAAACUGCUCUUCCUGCUGCUGGAGCCCCCACCCCUGCUCCAUUUUGAAGUAGCUGAUCCGGAUCAGCUUAGAUUGUGCCAAGUUUCAAGAAAAAGAUGAAAUAUGAGUUGCAUUUUGACAAAUGAAGAGGAUGUGAAGGGCAGAAGGAGCAGAAACUACCAGCAGAGAUGCUAAGAUGAAAGAGUGCAAGUUGGAUUGAAAAAACAAGACCUAUCCGAGUGCUGACUUCAAAAGACUCAUCUCAUACAUAAUGACACCCAUAGGCUCAAAGUAAAGGAUUGGAUAAAUAUUUAUUAUGCAAAUGGAAAACAAAACAAAAAAAAGAGCCAGAGUCACUAUUCUUAUAUCAGAUAAAAUAGACUUUAAACCAACAAAAGUAGAAAAGGACAAAGAAGGGCAUUAAAUAAUGAUAAAGAUUUCAGUUAAACAAGAAGACUUAACUAUCCUAAAUAUAUAUGCACCCAACAUUGGAGCACCCAGAUUCAUAAAACAAGUACUUCUAGACCUAUGAAAAGACCUAGACAGCCAUAAAAUAGUAGCGGAGGUUUUCGACACCCCAUUAGAAAGGUCAUUGAGGCAGAAAACUAACAAAGAAAUUCUGGACUUAAAUUGGACACAACCAGCUGGACCUAAUUGACACCUACAGAACACUCCACUGAUCAACCACUCUUCUCAUCUGCACACAGAACAUACAUCAAGAUUGAUCACUAGCUUAGCCAUAAAGCAAGUCUCAAUAAAUUCAAAAAAUCAAGAUCAUACCAACCACAAUCUUGGGCCACGGUGGAAUAAAAUAGAAAUCAAUACCAAGAAGAUCUCUGAAAACCACACAAUUACAUGGAAAUUAAAAAACUUACUCCUGAAUGACUUUUGAGCAAACAAUAAAGUUAAGGCAGAAAUUAAAAAAUUAUUUUAAAUAAAUGAAAACAAAGAUACAACAUACCAAAAUCUCUGGGAUGCAGCAAAAGCAGUGUUAAGAGGAAAGUUUAUAGCACUUAACGCCUACCUCAAAAAGUUAGAAAGAUCUCAAAUUAACCAUCUAAUAUAAUUCCUAGAAGAACUAGAAAAACAACAACAAACUAAACCUAAAACUAACAGAAUAAAAUAAGUAACUAAAAUCAGAGCAGAACUAAACCAAAUUGAGAUGCAAAAAUCCAUACACAGAAUCAACAAAACCAAUAACUGGUUAUUUGAAAAGAUAAACAAGACUGGCAGACCACUAGCUAGAGUAACAAAGAAAACGAGAGAGACAAAAGAUCCAAAUAAGCACAAUGAGAAAUGACAAAGGCAAUAUUGCAACCAAUACCACAGAAAUACAAAAGGUCCUCAGAGACUAUUAUCAACACCUCUAUGUGCACAAACUAGAAAAUCUAGAGGAAAUGGAUACAUUUCUGGAAGCACACAACCUCCCAAGAUUGAAUCAGGAAGAAAUUGAAACCCUGAACAGAACAAUAUCAAGUUCCAAACUUGAAUCAGUAAUAAAAAACCUACCAAACAAAAAAAGCCCUGGUCCAGAUGGAUGCACAGCUGAAUUCUACCAGAUGUUCAAAGAAGAGCUAGUACCAAUCCUAGCUCUUCGAUUGAUUCUUGGAAUCAUUUUUGGAAAUGAUUCCAAAAAAUCAAGCAGGAGAAACUCCUCCCUAAUUCAUCCUACAAAGCCAGAAUCACCCUAAUACCAAAACCUGGCAAAGACACAACAAAAAAAGAGAAAAUCACAGGCUAAUAUCCCUGAUGAACACAGACAGAAAAAUCCUCAACAAAAUACUAGCAAACCAAAUCCAGCAGCAACAUACACAAAUCAACAAAUGUAAUGCAUCACAUAAACAGAACUAAAGACAAAAACCAUAUGAUCAUCUCAAUAGACAUGGGAAAAGCUUUCAGUAAAAUCCAACAUCCUUUCAUGAUAAAAGCCCUCAGCAAACUAGGCCUCAAAGGAACAUAUUUCAAAAUAAUAAGAGCCAUCUAUGACAAACUGAUAGCCAACAUACCAAAUGGGGAAAAGCCAGAAGCAUUCCGCCUGAGAACCAGAACAAGACAAAGAUGCCCACUGUCACCUCUCCUAUUUAACGUAGUCUUGGAAGGGCUAGCCAGAGCAAUCAGUCAAGAGAAAUAAAAGGCAUCAAAACAGGAAAAGAAGAAAUCAAACUAUCUCUCUUCACUGAUAAUAUGAUUCUAUACCUAGAGAACCAUAAAGACUCUAUCAAAAGGCUCCUGGAAUGAUAAAUGACUUCAGUGAAGUUUCAGGAUACAAAAUCAAGACACAAAAAUUAGUAGCAUUUCUAUCUACCAAUAAUGUACAAACUGAGAGCCAAAUCAAGAAUGCAAUUCCAGGGCCAGGUGUGGUGGCUCACACCUGUAAUCUCAGCACUUUGGGAGGCUGAGGUGGCCAGAUCACUUGAGGUGAGGAGUUCGAGACCAGCCUGGCCAACAUGACGAAAAUCUGUCUCUGCUAAAAAUACAUUAGCCUGGUGUAGUGCCGGGCACCUGUAAUCCCAGCUACUCAGGAGGUUGAGGUGAGAGGAUGGCUUGAGUCCAGGAGGUGGAGGCUGCAGUGAGCUGAGAUGGUGCAACUGCACUCAAGCCUGGGCAACAGAGUAAGACUCUGUCUCAAAAAAAUAAAAAAAAAUAAGCCAGUCGCAGUGGCUCACACCUGUAAUCCCAGCCCUUUGGGAGGCCGAGGCGGGCGGAUCACCUGAGGUCAGGAGUUCGAGACUGGCCUGGUCAACAUGGUGAAACCCCAUCUCUACUAAAAAGUACAAAAAUUAGCCAGGCAUCGUGGUGGGCGCCUGUAAUCCCAGCUACUCAGGAGGCUGAGGCAGGAUAAUUGCUUGAACUUGGGAGGCAGAGGUUGCAGUGAGCCAAGAUCGCACCACUGCACUCCAGCCUGGGCAACAAGAACAUGACUCCAUCUCAAAAAAAAAAAAAAAAAAAAAGCAAUUCCAUUUAUGAUGGCCACAAAAACAAUAAAAUAUCCAGGAAUACAUCUAACCAAGGAGGUGAAAGAUCUCUACAGGGCAAACUGUAAAACUCUGCUGAAAGAAAUCAUAGAUGAGACUGGGCGUGAUGGCUCAUUCCUGUAAUCCCAGCACUUUGGGAGGCCAAGAUGGGCAGAUCACGAGGUCAAGAGAUCGAUACCAUCCUGGCCAACAUGGUGAAAUCCUGACUCUACUAAAAAUGCAAAAAUUAGCUGGGCAUGGUGGUGCACACAUGUAGUCCCAGCUAUUCAGAAGGCUAAUGCAGGAGAAUCGCUUGAACCUGGGAGGCAGAGGUUGCAGUGAGCUGAGAUUGCACCACUGCACUCCAGCCUGGUGACAGAGCGAGACUCCAUCUCAAAAAAAAAAAAAAAAAAGGAAUCAUAGAUGACACAAAGAGUAAAGCAUUUGAUGCUCAUGGAUUGGAAGAAUCAAUAUUGUUAAAAUGGUCAUACUGCCCAAAGUAAUCUAUAGACUUAAUGCUAUUCUUAUCAAACUGCCAACAUCAUUUUUUCACAGAAUUAGAAAAAAACUAUCCUAAAAUUCAUAUGGAACCUAAAGGAGCCUGAGUAGCUAAAGCAAUCCUAAGCAAAAAGAACAAAGCUAGAUAUAUCAUACUAUCCAACUUCAAACAAUACUAUAAGUCUACAGUAGGCUGGGCUCGGUGGCUCAUGCCUGUAAUCCCAGCACUUUGGGAGGCUGACUUGGGCGGAUCACGAGGUCAAGAGAUCUAGACCAUCUGGCCAACAUGGUGAAACUCCGUCUCUACCAAAAAUAUAAAAAAUCAGCCAGGUGUGGUGGCACGCACCUGUAGUCCCAGUUACUCAGGAGGCUGAGGCAGGAGAAUCCUCAGCUUCAGGAGGCUGAGGCAGGAGGCGGAGGUUGCAGUGAACCAAGAUUGCACCACUGCACUCCAGCCUGGGCCACAGAGUAAGAUUUCAUCUCAAAAGAAAAAAAAAAGACUACAGUAAACAAAACAGCAUGGUACUGGUACAAAAAUAGACACACAGACCAAUGGAACAGAGUAGAGAACCCAGAAAUGAAGCAGCAUACCACAUACUUACAGUCAUCUGAUCUUCCACAAAGUUGACAAAAAUAAGCAAUAGGAAAAGGACUCCCUAUUCGAAAAAUAGUGCUGGGAUAGCUGGCUAACCAUAUGCAGAAGAAUGAAACUAGACUCCUAUCUUUCACCAAAAGUUAACUCAAGAUGGUUUAAGGAUUUAAAAGACCUCAUACUAUAAGAAUCCUGGAAGAAAACCCAGGACUCACCAUUCUGGACAAUGACCUUUGGAAAGAAUUUAUGACCAAGUCCUCAAAAGCAAUUGCAGCAAAAAUGAAAGUUGAUAAGUGAGAUCUAAUUAAACUAAAGAGCUUCUGCACAGCAAAAGAAACUAUCAACAGAGUGAACAAUCUACAGAAUGGGAGAAAAUAUUUGCAAACUCUGCCUCUGGCAAAGGUCUAAUAUCCAGGAUCUACCAUAAAAUUAAAUAAUUUAACAAACAAAAACCAAAUAAUCUCAUUAAAAAGUGGGCAAAAGACAUGAAUAGACACUUCUCAAAAGAAGAGAUACAAACAGCCAACAAACAUAUGAAAAAAUGCUCAAUAUCAGUGAUUGUUAGGGAAAUGCAAAUCAAAACCAGAACACCAACCAGAAUGGCUAUUAUUAAAAAGUCAAAAACCCCAGCUAUGGCAACAUGGUGAGGCCUUCAUCUCUAUACAAAAAAACUUUUGUUUUUUUUUGAGAUGGAGUUUCGCUCUUGUUGCCCAGGCUGGAGUGCAGUGGCAUGAUCUAGGCUCACCACAACCUCCGCCUCCCGGGUUCAAGCGAUUCUCCUGAAUCAGCCUCCCAAGUAGCUGGGAUUACAGGCACACACCACCAUGCCCAGCUAAUUUUGUAUUUUUAGUAGAGAUGGGCUUUCUCCAGGUUGGUCAGGCUGGUCUCGAACUCCCAAACUCAGGUGAUCUGCCCGCCUCGGCCUCCCAAAGUGCUGGGAUUACAGGCAUGAGCCACCUCGCCCAGCCUACAAAAAAUUUUAAAAAAUUAGCCAGGCGCUGUGGUGUGUACCUGUGGUUCCAGCUACUCGGGAGGCCGAGGUAGGAUAAUUACUUGAGUACAGGAGGUCAAGGCUACAGUGAGCAAUGUUCACGACAUUACACUGCAGCCUGGGUGACAAAGUGAGACCCUGUUUAAAAAAAAAAAAACAACUCAAAAAACAACAGAUGUUGGCAAGGCUGUGGAGAAAAAGGAACAUUUCUACACUGUUGGUGGGAAUGUAAAUUAGUUCAGCUACCGUGGAAAGCAGUUUGGAGACUUCUCAAUGAAUUUUAAAAAGAACUACCAUGGUCAGGCGCGGUGACUCACG
rnacentral:lncRNA from 1 species